UGGGGAAUAUUGCACAAUGGGCGAAAGCCUGAUGCAGCGACGCCGCGUGGAGGAGGAAGGUCUUCGGAUUGUAAACUCCUGUUGAGUGGGAAGAAAUACCAAUCUCUAAUACAGGUUGGGGCUGACGGUACCACUCGAGGAAGCACCGGCAAACUUCGUGCCAGCAGCCGCGGUAAUACGAAGGGUGCGAGCGUUAUUCGGAGUUAUUGGGCGUAAAGAGCGCGUAGGCGGUCAGAUAAGUCAGUUGUUAAAGAACCCAGCUUAACUGGGUAAAGGCGAUUGAAACUAUUUGGCUAGAGGGUAAGAGAGAUAAGCGGAAUUCUCGGAGUAGCGGUAAAAUGCGUAGAUCUCGAGAGGAACACCGGUGGCGAAGGCGGCUUAUUGGCUUACAACUGACGCU
rnacentral:rRNA from 1 species